ACAUGACAAUCAGUGUGUACCUAACCUAGUCCGUUUCUUACUCCUCCCCUUGCUAAUUCUUGUUCCAAUUUCGCCAUUCCCUUGGCUUCCCCUACUUUUAUCCUUGCUGUUUCUCGUUCCCACGAGUCCGCGUACGCCCACAACAACUAAUCC